GUCCUUUAGAUUAUAAUUUCAGGUCUGACCUGCCCAAUGAUUGAUUAAAUGGCCGCGGUAUUUUGACCGUGCAAAGGUAGCAUAAUCAUUAGUUUCUUAAUUAGGAACUUGUAUGAAGGGUUUGACGAGAGAAAUUCUGUCUCUUGAAAAAUAUUAGAAUUUUAUUUUUAAGUUAAAAAGCUUAAAUUUUUUUGAAAGACGAGAAGACCCUAUAGAGUUUAACAUUAAUAUUUAUUUAUUAUUUAAGGAAUUUUUUUUAACAGAUUUUUAUUAAUGUUUAAUUGGGGUGAUUAAAAAAUUAACUAAACUUUUUUUUUAUUUUUCUACUUUUAAGUAUUUUUUUGAUCCAUAGAUUAUGAUUUAAAGAUUAAAUUACCUUAGGGAUAACAGCGUUAUUGUUYUGGAGAGUUYUUAUCAAUAGAGCAGUUUGCGACCUCGAUGUUGGAUUAAAAUUUAUUUUAGGUGCAGGAGCUUAAAAAUUAGGUCUGUUCGACCUUUGAAAUUUUACA
rnacentral:rRNA from 1 species